AAAGUCGUAACAAGGUUUCCGUAGGUGAACCUGCGGAAGGAUCAUUAUCACGUUAUCCACGUAUCAACCAAUUGUGAACUGUUAUCUUUACCUUUGAGAAUUUAGCUGGGUAGUUUCAUUCAUUGUGUGAUUUUGAAUGGCUAUCUGUUUUAGGUUGUUCUUUCGGGAUCACCUAUAAUAUGGCUUUAUUCUUGGAGUGUAUUAAAUCACACUUUAAACAUUAACCACUUGAACCUAAAAUUAAUUAUCUUUGUUUGAACUGAUUUGUUUCUUACUCGAUUUAAUCUUAAUUGAUGAUUGAGAAGAAAUUAUAUUACGAAAUAAUAAAGAACAACUCUUAGCAACGGAUAUCUUGGUUCUC
rnacentral:misc_RNA from 1 species